UACGUAGGGGGCAAGCGUUGUCCGGAAUCAUUGGGCGUAAAGAGCGUGUAGGCGGCCCGGUAAGUCCGCUGUAAAAGUCAAAGGCUCAACCUUUGAAUGUCAGUGGAUACUGCCGGGCUAGAGUCCGGAAGAGGCGAGUGGAACUCCUGGUGUAGCGGUGGAAUGCGCAGAUAUCAGGAAGAACACCAACGGCGAAGGCAGCUCGCUGGGACGGUACUGACGCUGAGGUGCGAAAGCGUGGGGAGCAAACAGG
rnacentral:rRNA from 1 species